UCAAUUAUUUAUAGCCUCUGGCUAUAGGAAAUUGUUAGUGGCAGACGGGUGAGUAAUGCGUAGGAAUCUACCUAGUAGUACGGAAUAGCCAUUAGAAAUGGUGGGUAAUACUGUAUAAUCCCCGAGGGGGAAAGAUUUAUCGCUAUUAGAUGAGCCUACGUUAGAUUAGCUAGUUGGUGAGGUAAUGGCUUACCAAGGCUAUGAUCUAUAGCUGGUCUGAGAGGACGAUCAGCCACACUGGAACUGAGAUACGGUCCAGACUCCUACGGGAGGCAGCAGUGGGGAAUAUUGGACAAUGGGCGAAAGCCUGAUCCAGCUAUGCCGCGUGAGUGAAGAAGGCCUUCGGGUUGUAAAACUCUUUCAAUAGGGAAGAUAAUGACGGUACCUAUAAA
rnacentral:rRNA from 2 species